rnacentral:rRNA from 1 species
CUUAGCUGUUGAUGUUACCUGAAGAAUAAGCACCGGCUAACUCCGUGCCAGCAGCCGCGGUAAUACGGGGGGUGCAAGCGUUAAUCGGAAUUACUGGGCGUAAAGGGCGCGUAGGCGGUUACUUAAGUUAGAUGUGAAAGCCCCGGGCUUAACCUGCGAAUUGCAUUUAAUACUGGGUAACUACAGUGUGGUAGAGAGUA